rnacentral:rRNA from 1 species
GAUGAACGCUGGCGGCGUGCCUAAUACAUGCAAGUCGAGCGAAUGGAUUGAGAGCUUGCUCUUAUGAAGUUAGCGGCGGACGGGUGAGUAACACGUGGGUAACCUGCCCAUAAGACUGGGAUAACUCCGGGAAACCGGGGCUAAUACCGGAUAACAUUUUGAACCGCAUGGUUCGGAAUUGAAAGGCGGCUUCGGCUGUCACUUAUGGCUGGACACGCGUCGCAUUAGCUAGUUGGUGAGGUAACGGCUCACCAAGGCAACGAUGCGUAGCCGACCUGAGAGGGUGAUCGGCCACACUGGGACUGAGACACGGCCGAGACUCCUACGGGAGGCAGCAGUAGGGAAUCUUCCGCAAUGGACGAAAGUCUGACGGAGCAACGCCGCGUGAGUGAUGAAGGCUUUCGGGUCGUAAAACUCUGUUGUUAGGGAAGAACAAGUGCUAGUUGAAUAAGCUGGCACCUUGACGGUACCUAACCAGAAAGCCACGGCUAACUACGUGCCAGCCGCCGCAGUAA